rnacentral:rRNA from 1 species
GAUCAUGGCUCAGGAUGAACGCUAGCUACAGGCUUAACACAUGCAAGUCGAGGGGCAGCGGGAUUGAAGCUUUGCUUCAAUUGCCGGCGACCGGCGCACGGGUGAGUAACGCGUAUCCAACCUUCCGUACACUCAGGGAUAGCCUUUCGAAAGAAAGAUUAAUACCUGAUGGUAUGAUGAGAUUGCAUGAUAGCAUCAUUAAAGAUUUAUCGGUAUACGAUGGGGA